rnacentral:rRNA from 1 species
UACGUAGGGGGCGAGCGUUGUCCGGAGUUACUGGGCGUAAAGAGCGCGUAGGCGGGUCUUUAAGUGAGGGGUGAAAGGUUCGGGCUCAACCCGGACACUGCCUUUCAUACUGGAGACCUUGAGUGCGGGAGGGGCGAGUGGAAUGGUCGGUGUAGCGGUGAAAUGCGUAGAUAUCGAUCGGAACACCCAUGGCGAAGGCAGCUCGCUGGCCUGCAACUGACGCUGAGGCGCGAAAGCUAGGGGAGCGAACGGG